UGGGGAAUUUUGCGCAAUGGACGAAAGUCUGACGCAGCAACGCCGCGUGGGUGAUGAAGGUCUUCGGACUGUAAAACCCUGUCGUCAGGGACGAAGGUGUGCAUGUUAAUAGCGUGUGCACUUGACGGUACCUGGAGAGGAAGCCCCGGCUAACUCUGUGCCAGCAGCCGCGGUAAUACAGAGGGGGCAAGCGUUAAUCAGAAUGACUGGGCGUAAAGGGCGUGUAGGUGGUUGACUAGGCUUGAUGUGAAAUCCCCGGGCUUAACCUGGGACCUGCAUUUGUGACUGCAAGGCUAGAGUACGGCAGAGGGGGAUGGAAUUCCGCGUGUAGCAGUGAAAUGCGUAGAUAUGCGGAGGAACACCGAUGGCGAAGGCAAUCCCCUGGGCCUGUACUGACGCUCAUGCACGAAAGCGUGGGGAGCAAACAGG
rnacentral:rRNA from 1 species